rnacentral:rRNA from 1 species
ACGGAAGGCAGCAGUGAGGAAUAUUGGUCAAUGGGCGGAAGCCUGAACCAGCCAAGUCGCGUGAAGGAUGACGGUCCUAUGGAUUGUAAACUUCUUUAGCCAGGGAGCAAUAAGCGCUAUGCAUAGCGUGAUGAGAGUACCUGGAGAAUAAGCAUCGGCUAACUCCGUGCCAGCAGCCGCGGUAAUACGGAGGAUGCGAGCGUUAUCCGGAUUUAUUGGGUUUAAAGGGUGCGCAGGCGGUCGAUUAAGUCAGUGGUCAAAUCGUGAGGCUCAACCUCAUCCCGCCAUUGAUACUGGUUGACUUGAUUCCGGUCGAGGCAGGCGGAAUUCGUAGUGUAGCGGUGAAAUGCAUAGAUAUUACGAAGAACUCCGAUUGCGUAGGCAGCUUACCAGGCCGGCAAUGACGCUCAUGCACGAAAGUGCGGGGAUCGAACAGGAUUAGAUACCCUGGUA